AUUGAACGCUAGCGGGAUGCCUUACACAUGCAAGUCGAACGGAGUGGCGAACGGGUGAGUAAUGUAUCGGAACGUGCCCAGUAGCGGGGGAUAACUACGCGAAAGCGUAGCUAAUACCGCAUACUAUUGGAGCGGCCGAUAACGGAUUAGCUAGUUGGUGGGGUAACGGCUCACCAAGGCGACGAUCCGUAGCUGGGUUGAGAGGACGACCGGCCACACUUGGACUGAGACCCGGCCCAGACUCCUAGGGGAGGCAGCAGUGGGGUAUUUUGGACAAUGGGGUAAACCCGGUUCCAGCCAUCCCGCGUGUCCGAUGAAGGCCUUCGGGUUGUAGAGCACUUUUGGCAGGACAGCGGUACCUGCAGAAUACGCACCGGCUAACUACGUGCCAGCAGCCGCGGUAAUAC
rnacentral:rRNA from 1 species